AGGCGAUGAAUAUCCUGCAUUUUGAUUAGUUUUAAACGCAGGAUAUUAGCUCAAAAAUAUGAACUUGAAGUGGAGAGCAAAUUUCAUUGACCAUUUCUCCCACUUUCUCUUUUUGCAAUCUGUGUUGUUUUGUUGUUGUUUAUUGCUACAACAGUGAUGAAAAUAGCUUAGUAGGAAACAACGGAGAACGGUGACUAGCUUUGGAUGGUUAAGAACAUACGUUAUCGUUUGUUUAUCAAUCCGGGAACGCUUAUUUACCGUUAGUCGAAAUGUACACUCUAUCACUCGAGGCACUAAGCUGUUGGGUGUUACCUGAAACUGAUCGAUGGCUUUCAGUGGCUCUGUGCAGUUAGUGAGAGUUUCUUUAAGAUCCUCUCCGUUGGAUAUACCAAGCUCAGGCAGCCCCGCGAACAUUUUGCUUUCAGUUUAAGCAUCAAUUAAAUGAUCUAAGUCCAAAUGAUGUCUUCUGACGGGAGUUUAGUCAACAAAAACAAAGAGAAGGUAUCCCAGUGCAAAGAAGAUAAGGAUGAUGGAGAAGAAGAGGAUGCCUUUCCAGGGCCCUAUGGGCAGGGCCUUCAUCACUACAGGAUUUUCGGCUGGAACUAGAUUGGUGAGGUUUAGCAUGUAACCCAAAGCCCAGCCUACAGAUGCUCCUCCGGCCUACAGAAACACAAGAAGAGAAAUAGAAGGAAGGAAAACCUCAUCAAAAUGGUAGCCCUGUGUUAAGAGCACCUGGACGAAAUUGGAGACAGCACAGACAUUCUUCAUGUAUUUCUUAUCCUGCUUUGUCCUAUUCGUCAUCUAUAAGUAAAAAUACAAUGUGU